GAUGAAGAACGCAGCGAAAUGCGAUACGUAAUGUGAAUUGCAAAUUCAGUGAAUCAUCGAAUCUUUGAACGCACAUUGCGCCCGCCAGUAUUCUGGCGGGCAUGCCUGUUCGAGCGUCAUUUCAACCAUCAAGCCCCCGGCUUGUGUUGGGGACCUGCGGCUGCCGCAGGCCCUGAAAUGCAGUGGCGGGCUCGCUGUCACUCCGAGCGUAGUAGUUACAUCUCGCUCUGGGCGUGCUGCGGGUUCCGGCCGUUAAAAGCCUUAUUUACCCAAGGUUGACCUCGGAUCAGGUAGGAAGACCCGCUGAACUUAAGCAUAUCAAUAAGCGGAGGA
rnacentral:misc_RNA from 1 species